rnacentral:rRNA from 1 species
GACGAACGCUGGCGGCGUGCCUAAUACAUGCAAGUAGGACGCAGUUGCGAACGGGUGAGUAACGCGUAGGUAACUGCCUAUUAGAGGGGGAUAACUAUUGGAAACGAUAGCUAAUACCGCAUACUAGUAGAUGGACCUGCGUUGUAUUAGCUAGUAGGUAGGGUAAUGGCCUACCAAGGCGACGAUCCGUAACUGGUCUGAGAGGAGGAUCAGUCAAACUGGAACUGAGACACGGUCCAGACUCCUACGGGAGGCAGCAGUGGGGAAUAUUGGACAAUGGGCGAAAGCCUGAUCCAGCCAUGCCGCGUGUGUGAAGAAGGUCUUCGGAUGGUAAAAAUCUUUUCUAUGGGAAGCAGUACCAUAGGAAUAAGGACCGGCUAAUUACGUGCCAGCAGCCGCGGUAAUAC